AAUAGCGUAUAUUAAAGUUGUUGCAGUUAAAAAGCUCGUAGUUGGAUUUCUGGUGGGAGCGAUCGGUCUGGCGCUUAGCGCGAGUACUUGCAUCGUCUCCGGCCAUCCUUGGGGAGAGUCUGUCUGGCAUUAAGUUGUCGGGCAGAGGAUCCUCAUCGUUUACUGUGAAAAAAUUAGAGUGUUCAAAGCAGGCUUAUGCCGUUGAAUAUAUUAGCAUGGAAUAAUAAGAUAGGACUUUGGUACUAUUUUGUUGGUUUGCGCACCAAAGUAAUGAUUAAUAGGGACAGUUGGGGGUAUUCGUAUUCCGUUGUCAGAGGUGAAAUUCUUGGAUUUACGGAAGACGAACUACUGCGAAAGCAUUUACCAAGGAUGUUUUCAUUAA
rnacentral:rRNA from 1 species